rnacentral:lncRNA from 10 species
UUAUCUAUUUAAAUAAUACUUCAAAGUGAGUUUUAUUCCGUGUUUAAUAAGACUUUGAAAUUCACUCAUUUUGAGGGGUUCUAAGUGAAAAUCGUUUUUCUCCUGUCAGUUGCAUGCUGCCAUUAGUCACCAGGUUGACCCAGAAUUGUGUGGUUUAGGUCUGGGCAGCGUCCUCCUGAACAGCCUGAAGCAGACGGUGGUGACCCUGGCCAGCAGCACGGGCGUGCUGAGCACCGUGCAGUCGGCCGCCCAGGCCGUGCCGCAGAGUGGCUGGUCCGUGCUGCUGCCCAGCGCCGAGGAGCGGGCCCGGGCACUCUCUGCUCCCCUGCCCCGCGCAGUUUCAGGCAAUGACGUGAACAUAAGUCGAGGUUGUCAAUUCAUGAGUGAUCUUCUGGUGGGCAGCUUGGUGGCUGCUGGAGGGUUGGAGUCAGCCUUACACGCAGCCAUUACUGCAGAGAUCCAGGAUAUUGAAGCCCAAAAAGAAGCACAGAAGGAAAAAGAAGUUGAUGAACAGGAAGCGAAUGCCUCAGCAUUUCAUAGAAGCAGGACGCCAUUGGAUAAAGGCCUUGUUAAUAUGGGAAUCUGUGAAUCUUCUGGCAAACGGUGUUUACCUCUGGUUCAGCUCAUACAACAGCUUCUUAGUCCAUGUGAAAUACUGGUGAGCAUUGUUCUGGAAGGCUGGACUAGGAGGAGGUGUGAAGAAGUCGGACUCAGCCUGCGGACAGAGGCUAACCUUGGCAGAAGCGAAAACGGUCAGGCAGUGUUGUCUGAACAUGAUCGUUCAAGAAGAGCGGAAGAGCAAGGUGAUUUGUGAGAGAGAUUUAUUAGACAAUGA